UCUUCGGCUAAAUUUAGUACGCCGUUGUUCAAGUCCUUCAAUUUAUUUUCGAGAUAUCUGAACGGCAGAAGACGAAACACAAUCAAGUCAGAUGACAAUUGAAUUUUAUUAUAAUAAUAAGAGAAGCACGUACCGCAGAAGAGUAUACAAGUUCAAGUUCAGUGUCAAAAUGAAUCCUACUGGCUGAAGUAAAGUAGGUGUAGUAACGAAAAACGAUAAUCCAGAUGUGUACGGUAUGGUCCACCAGAAAUUUACUGCAACUGCGAGUGACAUUAUUAUGCAGAUGGCUACUACUUGGAAGAUUUUGCUCCGGGGAUGGUAACCUGUUCUUAUUAAGAAAUUACCUUUCCUUGAAGCCAAACUAAUAACGGAGCUACAAAGGAGUGAAGAGAAUUUGUUCCUAUCACUACACCGUAAGUUAUGCUACCGAUGGAAGAUGAUGUUAUGGUCGUAUCGGAAUAGAGCCUUUGCGAAACGAACCAGACCCCAAUCAUCGCUAGUGUUGAAUUCAUAACGUCAACGAGUAUCACGUAAAUGAUUGCUAGAUUGUACAGGUAACGAUUCUUGAAACAAAUAUCCAAAGUGCCUAGCCCCGUCCAACAGUUUAAAAAUAUUAACGGUUUUAACGAGUCGAGAAGGGUCUUUGGUCGAAAGAACAUUGUUUGAAUUUUGAAAAUAAUACAACAAUUGAAUCGUGAGAAAAUUUCAAUCGCUUCAACGAGUCGUAGGAAUGAUCGUUAACACUUGUGUAUACGGUUUGAAGACCCGAGGCACUGAAAGGCAUUAAAAAAACCCAAUAGAUUAAUGAUAAGUCAACCGAUAAUCUUGGUUCCGAAAUAACUACUCUUUUUUCGAUUGAACGCUCUUAUGCAUAAUUAUCUUUACACUUAGGGGGUGAGGUAAUUUUCAGAAUGUGUUGCUAAUCCAUUUAUCGGUCUUCCUUCCAUUUUAGGUAAUGACGACGAACUUGUACAAUAAUCAAUUCUAAUCUAUUUUUAAUAAUUUAACUUUCAGAUGUUCUAUCCACCGUUGAUAGAAUAAUAGGUUCCUUCUCUCGCCAAGGUCAUAUUCGUCCAGAUUAACAUUAUCAGGUUAACGAGGGGCUGGUAAUGUUGGACGAAACAACGGAUGAGCUUUCGUCUGGCGAUGAGCUCAUCUGGAUGAGGAUUACCAAGUACGUCGUUAUGGUUGCGAUUACCUGUGAAUUUUGGAAAAAAAAUGAAAAAUCAAUGAGCUAAAAGGAUUCGUUUGGAAAAAGUGGAAAUAUCAUCCAUACUAACGCUACGGACAAGACUAUGAUCCAGAUUGAAGAAUCCGCGGGCAUCAAAGCGCACAGGGUUGUGAAUAAUUUGCACCGAAAAAUCUUGCAUCUGUGGAAAGUAGAUGGAUGAAUUUCUCAUUUCUUUGCAGUGUCCGAUUAUCCAGAUUCUGAUACAGUAUAAACCGAGCCAUAAAACCGAAGAGGAGAGCCUUCCAAAACUCUCACCAUCUGGAGGAAAUACCUUCAACAUACCAUCGUACAAACCAUACAAUAGCCCCGUUAUCAUUACGAAGGAUGUUCCAGCAGUUAUUAGAUUUUGCACCCCGAAGCAAACGUUCAUCUCAGAAGAGAUUUUGCACAGUUCAAGAUCACAUGAACGAUAAUGAAAGAUUUCAUUAUUUUAACAAGAAAACAAGUCACCCCAUUAGAGUCCACAGGUUCAGAUCCUGUGUAAGCAUAACACCCAUUGGUUGAACCAAUACCAUCGUGGUGACGAUAGUCGAGAAGAUAUCCGGUGCAGGCGGAUUCCAGGAAAAAUUUGACCAGGCUAUCAUCCCCAUCGAUAAAUAAAUGCCGAUGAAUUGCAAACUUAAUCUAUUGAAACGUUGGCGAUAUUCCAUAUUGAUUUCAUCACUAAACAUCGCGUGAAAUUUUGCAUCCAAUAUGCGGAGCCUGUGAAGAGAACCGUGUAACAUCUGUGGAGCGUAAGAUGUAAUCACCUUGUUUUGGAUGAAAAACAGGACGGGUGCGAUCACAGAGUUGACUGAAUUCGUACCAAUUAUAACGUUGAAUGUAAGUCGUGAAUUCGUGUCAUUUGGGAUAUUGGGCGACCAGGUUGA